rnacentral:lncRNA from 1 species
GGAAUGGUCUUGCCCAAAGCUUCUCAAGCUCUAUGUGUGCCGUGUGCAGGUUCAGUUUUUUCAAAAUCAGACUCAAAUUCUGGAGCCUUGCACACUGCCAUGUUUUAUCGGGAAAUCUUGUCGAGCUGAAACUUCAGAGUGCGGCGUCACGGAAUGAAAACAAUCCAUUUAUUCUGAACUGGAAAUAAUUAUCGAUAAACAGGAGUGGUCACCACCAGGUGGCGCUGGCGAACAGGGUGGUGUGAUGAUGGCUGAGAGCUCUGGAAGCUGCUGAUUCAAUCGCCUCAAGGGAUUGCUGAUGGCUUGCAGAGGUCAACUAAAGGAGUCCUUCCUGAAAACUACUAAACUGGCUUUUGUGGAACUCUAUCAAGCAUUUGGCCCACUAAAACAGAAUGAAGUUAAAAAAUAGAAUUCCAUUUAAAUCAUCUGAGAGAAUUUCAGAUACAGAAAUUUCUUGAUGGAAGAAUGCAAAAUGGAGGUCCAUUGGCAGCCAGCAGAGAUCACAAUUCCGACAGUUCCCCAUUAUGUCAGGAAAAAGCCAAGAUCAAGACUGGUAUUAUUCCUCUCCCCAAGAAGAAAACAGAAAAACAAGACAACAACAACAACCCAGAGCUUUCAGUAGAUUGAUUGGUUCUUAAGUUGUCUCUUCCUUUUAUUCUGGCCAAUCACAUGCAUAUAAUUAUUUUCCUUCUUGCUAAGAUCUAGUUAUAUAGUAUCUUUACUUUUAUAUAGUUAGAUAGUAGAUAUAUGCUUAGUUAUAUAGUAUCUCUACUUUUAAGGCUUGGCCAGAUCUGAUGUUCAAUGAAGUUUCCGUUUUCCCAGGGAUAAAUUAAUGUAAUCAGUGGGGACCUUCUUUGUUAAAACCAAGAAGGUGCCUCCUCUGACCAGUCAUCAUAGGUAGAGGCCAAUAGGUAGAGGAAGCAGGCCCUCCAUCAUACUUGUCAAUUCCAAAUAGCUAAAAGGUAUAUAUGGAUUAGUGGAAUUUCUGUAUCCCCUUUGGUUUCACUCCUCAAAACUUCACCUUGGGUCCCCAUAGUAGUGACUGCUAAUAAUUUCAAAGUUCUAUAAAAGGGAAUUCUUUGUUCUCUUUGAGUUUACACUUGUGAAAGGGAAUCUAUUAUUCCCUUUGUCCAUUUUGAGUUAACACUUUAGUUAACAAUAAACUUACAUACCCCUACUUAGUACCUCA